AAACGCGUCACCUACUCCGACGG
rnacentral:siRNA from 1 species